rnacentral:sRNA from 1 species
UUAGCGCUUUCACCGCAUCUCCAGCGGUUCAUCAGACAGAAUUGUUAUCGUUAAUAGUAACGACUUGUGAUUCUGUCUGAUGAACCGCUGGAGAUGCGGUGAAAGCG